rnacentral:rRNA from 1 species
AUUGAACGCUGGCGGAAUGCUUUACACAUGCAAGUCGAGCGGCAGCGCGGCCUUCGGGCUGGCGGCGAGCGGCGAACGGGUGAGUAAUGCAUCGGAACAUGCCCAGUCGUGGGGGAUAACACUUCGAAAGAAGUGCUAAUACCGCAUACGGCCUGAGGGGGAAAGCGGGGGAUCGCAAGACCUCGCGCGAUUGGAGUGGCCGAUGUCAGAUUAGCUAGUUGGUGGGGUAAAGGCCUACCAAGGCGACGAUCUGUAGCUGGUCUGAGAGGAUGAUCAGCCACACUGGGACUGAGACACGGCCCAGACUCCUACGGGAGGCAGCAGUGGGGACUUUUGGACAAUGGGGGCAACCCUGAUCCAGCCAUUCCGCGUGAGUGAAGAAGGCCUUCGGGUUGUAAAGCUCUUUCGGCAGGAACGAAACGGUGGGCUCUAACAUAGUCCGCUAAUGACGGUACCUGAAGAAGAAGCACCGGCUAACUACGUG